UUACUGCACUGCUGGUAUUUCAGGUGAGAUAUAUAGCUUUAAUUUUCCUCCUCUUUCCUUCUUUCUUCCUUCCCUAGAACAGUUUUCAGAGCUUCAAGAUUUCUUUUUGUAGCUUCUUCGAAUGGUAAAUGUUUUUUACAGUAGUUUUUCCAUUAUUUUCCCACUUCUUCACCAAGGAGUAAGUAUUCUUUGCUCAUCAAGUUUUCUUGGGAAGCAAACAGAUUAUUAGUUUCUUUGUUAAUUGCGUACUAUCUUUAAUGAAUAUUAUGUUCCUUUUUCUUAAGCUAGAUACGAAAAAGGAUUUGCCUUUUAUACUUGAAAAAAGAAAAAAAAGAAAAGCAUUUUCCUUUUAAAGAUUUUCUCAAGAAAAGUUUUUGUUUUUAGAAAUCAGAUUUUCUUAAGAAAAGUUGAUGAGCUUGUACCCAGACAUUAAACACAGGCACAGCCUUGGCUUUUUCUUCAAUUGUUAGCGUAUUUUAGCAGAUAGUUACGUGAUUUUUCAAAUCUGCGCAGGAGGGCACAUUAACCCAGCAG
rnacentral:misc_RNA from 1 species